UUUGUAGAUUUAGCUAUCAGUACAUUCCUUAUAAGUGUAUCAGAUAUAGACGAGGUGAUGUUGUCGAUACAAGAUAACAUUUUUUUAAUAGGAAUGUGUAUUCCUAGUAUAGGUUCAAUACUAAAUUUGGGGCCAAGAGCCAAAAAACGAAAAAUAUCAUCUGCCAUCACAACCUCUGUUAGAUUUUUUAUCCAGUUUGAUUAAUAUUUAACAAAGUAUCAACAUUAUCUUUAUACAGCUUAUCAAAUUUCUUUAAGUUAUUAUUUUUAAUUAUGUGAAAUUUACGGUUAUAUACUCGUUGUUGUUUUGAUUGGAAA
rnacentral:lncRNA from 1 species